UCCAGUUCAGUGUGGGAUUGUAUUCAGCUGUGUGGAAGGGGCCUUCCCUUCCCUUCCUUUCCACUCACCAGACAGCCAUCCUGGGCUUGGGGUACCUCAGCCUCUCCAGGCAGCCCAGGAAAUGGGGCAAGGAGCCGGCGGCGUUCCUGGCCAGGAUGGCGAGGAAGACGGUGGGCUUCUGCAAGGCGGAUUCGGGCAGCGGGGAGCCUUCGGGGUCCGCCAGCACGGGCGGCUCGCCUUCCUCCUCGGCGCCGAAGGAGAAGGAAAGGUGAGGCAGGAGGAGGAGGAGCAGGGCUUGCCGCCGCCGCCUCAAGGUGGAGGAGAAACGCGGGCUCCGUGCAGCCAUCUUUCAGGAGGCUGGGACUGGCUCGCGCUCUCUUACUGCACUUUGCUCAAAGAGCAGCAGCAGGAGGAGGAGUCCCUCCUUCUUUGCCACCGGCGGAUUGGUGGCCCCAGACGCGCCGCCCGGCCUCCUCUGGGCAGCUCGGGAGGCAAAUAAAAACAAACAAAGCGUGCUUUCUCUUCUUGGCGGCCCAGCAGAGCAAGCAUGAGCCCUGGUGGCAGCGAGGAAAGAGCCAGCAGCUGGAGAGCAAGCAAGAUCACCAAAGCCUCUGCCAGAGAGUUCAAAUCGGAACCUUGGAAUCGACGCGCAUGUUCCGGGGGGGCUUAAAAUGUCGAGGCACCGCCGGAGCGAAGCCGCGAGACACCCACUUCGAGCAUGGAAGCGCCAGGGAGCAGCUGUGGGCACGGCGGCACCGGAGGCGAGGCUCCCCUGGGGCGAGGCUUCGGCUCCGGCUCCCCUAGUCCGGCAAAGCUCGAGGAGGGGAAGGAAGGGGGAGCCGCGGCGCCUGCGCAGUGGGCGCCGGGAGGGAGCUGGCUGGAGGCACAUCCUGCGGUGAGCGAGGGAAGGGCGGGACAACACCGUUGACAACGAUGCGUGUGGAUGGCCCGACUUCAUUCAAAUAUUAGAAGGGUGGGAUCAUGUCAGGCAAUCGCGUUUGAUGCCUGCAUCACCAACAUUCACUUCUAUUUUCUCGUGCUCAAUGACUAGAGGCUAUUUACUUCUUGUGUUUUCUGAGAUAUUCAAUGUGUUGUCAAAGGCCUUCAUGGCCAGAAUCACUGGGUUGCUGUGGGUUGCUGUGUG
rnacentral:lncRNA from 11 species